UUAUAUUCCAUAGACAUAACUAGUUAUCUGAUAAUUGAUGGAACUGGAUGAAUUACAACAAUGGAUUGAACAUUUAUAUAACAAAGUAAAAGAAUACAAAGAACGUGCGGAAUACCAAGCAUAUGUUUUAGAUGAGAUUUCUCAACCAUGGCCUUUCAGUUCUGCUCCUAAAUCCGCACAAGAUGGUUACAAACAAUCAAUUGAACAACGGAAAGAAAACGAAGAAAAAAUAUCAAAAGUUGCAAACUUUGAUAAAGAACUUGAAAACGUAGAAGACAUAUUACAAAAGGCUAGAUUAUUGCAUGAAAAAGUCAACGAAAAACCUGCGACGAAGACGCAAAAAAUUAAAGAAAAUGAAACAAAAAAAAUGAAUAGUGCUCUACCUCAAAAAUCCGAUCCCAAAAAAGGCUUAAUAAAGAGUGAAAGAUUAUCUAGUACCUCAAAUAAAACGAAAAUCGUGCCAAAUUUAAGCAGAAACUCUAAAAUUUUGCCAAAUAAAGCAUCGUCAAAAAUUUCCAAUCCUCCGUUUUAUACAAAACCCACAAGAGGCAGAAUCAGAUCAGCUGGAUACCAAAAAGGACAAAAUAAACCUACAGUUAAGCCAAACUCGAAUAAAUCUACAACCAUUUCAAAAAGUUCGGAAUUAUUGAAGCAAAUAAAGGUGCAAACUACACAGGUAGCAACAAAUGAUGAAAAUAUUUCUAAAACAGAAGAUAAAAAAAUUUCUCCGCCCUUAUCAGAGCAUAAUAAUCCACCAGUCGUGAAAAAUGUUGAAAUAGACUUUACCAAGGUCAAAUUAAAAUACAGAGACUUUGCUAAUGACCUUGAACUACCUCACAAGGUCAAAAAAUUGUUAUCGACUCAUGAAAAACUUCGCGAUCAAGCGUGUGAUGCCUUACAUGAAACUGAAUGUAAGGAAGAAACAAAUUUUGUUAAAAAUAUGGCGUCCUCGGCAGGUGACAGAACACUCGAUGGCACUGUAACUCUGCGGACAUUAGAAGCGGUAAAUUCAGAAUUGGACAAGUGUAUAGCAGUUUCCACUAAUGCAAUAAAUAUUUUAAAAUAUCAAAGCGAAUACCAGCCACUUGGUAGAAACUCUAAGCUAAGAUGGAGCGAGCAGCAAAAUACUUAUUUGAGAUCAGAAUCUGUUAAAAUAGUAGAGGAAGUAUACUACCAUUUGUGGGAAAAAGUAAGAUAUUUUUCAAAGCUGAAAAUUCUGGUUUCUAAUGAUAAAACAGAAAAAAAUGAUUUGAAUUUUAAUGCAGAUUUGUUAUCAAGUUUACGCUUGGAUAAUUUUGCUUGUUUCCAUGACGACCUACCGUACCCAGCAUCUGUGUUAACUUACCAAACAUCAAAAGAACUUUCAAAAAAAACUUGUGAGCAACUAAUGCAUAAAUGUUUAAUCAUAGAGAAAAAUUUAUUGCGGAAUAUUUCGAAAACUUAUUUUAAUUUGAUUGGCAAAAUGGUGAGCGGUGAAAAAGGCGGUGUGCCAUCUGAAAAUUUGACUCAUGUGUUACAAAACACUUAUGGCUUGUUGGGUGAAAAAAAAAUCUUGCUUCCCAGCUAUGUAUUGGCUGAAUAAUUCUCCCAUAGUAUGUGUACCUGGUACCAUAAUUUUAUUCCAAUUUUAGUUCUAUUACGAGUUCGGGAACUGUCUGUGUUAGCCAAGUGAAUAGGUUUCCGUCCCUUUACACGACUUGAUGUAAAAUUGGCGA